AAUCAACGCUGGCGGCGUGCCUCAGACAUGCAAGUCGAACGAUUAAAGCUCUCUUCGGAGAGUGUAUAGAGUGGCGCACGGGUGAGUAACACGUAAGUAAUCUACCUUUGAGUGGGGAAUAACCCGGGGAAACCCGAGCUAAUACCGCAUAAUGCAGCGGCACCGCAAGGUGACAGUUGUUAAAGGAGCAAUCCGCUUAAAGAGGAGCUUGCGGCAGAUUAGCUAGUGGUAAGGUAAUGGCUUACCAAGGCUUCGAUCUGUAUCCGGCCUGAGAGGGCGGUCGGACACACUGACACUGAAUAACGGGUCAGACUCCUACGGGAGGCAGCAGUCGGGAAUUUUGGGCAAUGGGCGAAAGCCUGACCCAGCAACGCCGCGUGAAGGAUGAAGUAUUUCGGUAUGUAAACUUCGAAAGAAUGGGAAGGAUCAAUGACGGUACCAUUUAUAAGGUCCGGCUAACUACGUGCCAGCAG
rnacentral:rRNA from 1 species